UGGGCGGAAGCCUGAUGCAGCGACGCCGCGUGAGGGAUGACGGCCUUCGGGUUGUAAACCUCUUUCGGAAGGAAAGAAGCCUUGGGGUGACGGUACCUGCAGAAGAAGCGCCGGCUAACUACGUGCCAGCAGCCGCGGUAAUACGUAGGGCGCAAGCGUUGUCCGGAAUUAUUGGGCGUAAAGAGCUCGUAGGCGGCCUGUCGCGUCUGCUGUGAAAGCCCGGGGCUUAACUCCGGGUCUGCAGUGGGUACGGGCGGGCUAGAGUGCGGUAGGGGAGACUGGAAUUCCUGGUGUAGCGGUGGAAUGCGCAGAUAUCAGGAGGAACACCGAUGGCGAAGGCAGGUCUCUGGGCCGUUACUGACGCUGAGGAGCGAAAGCAUGGGGAGCGAACAGGAUUAGAUACCCUGGUAGUCCAUGCCGUAAACGUUGGGCACUAGGUGUGGGGCCCAUUUCCACGGGUUCUGUGCCGUAGCUAACGCAUUAAGUGCCCCGCCUGGGGAGUACGGCCGCAAGGCUAAAACUCAAAUGAAUUGACGGGG
rnacentral:rRNA from 1 species